rnacentral:tRNA from 1 species
GGGGAUUCAGCUUAGUGGUAUAAGCACCUGCCUGGCAAGCAUGAGGUCGUGAGUUCAAUCCCUG